CCUUAGAGUUUGAUCCUGGCUCAGGACGAACGCUGGCGGCGCGCCUAACACAUGCAAGUCGAACGAGAGAUGAGGAGCUUGCUCUUCAGAUCGAGUGGCGAACGGGUGAGUAACGCGUGAGGAACCUGCCUCAAAGAGGGGGACAACAGUUGGAAACGACUGCUAAUACCGCAUAAGCCCACGGCUCGGCAUCGAGCAGAGGGAAAAGGAGCAAUCCGCUUUGAGAUGGCCUCGCGUCCGAUUAGCUAGUUGGUGAGGUAACGGCCCACCAAGGCGACGAUCGGUAGCCGGACUGAGAGGUUGAACGGCCACAUUGGGACUGAGACACGGCCCAGACUCCUACGGGAGGCAGCAGUGGGGAAUAUUGCACAAUGGGGGAAACCCUGAUGCAGCGACGCCGCGUGGAGGAAGAAGGUCUUCGGAUUGUAAACUCCUGUUGUUGAGGAAGAUAAUGACGGUACUCAACAAGGAAGUGACGGCUAACUACGUGCCAGCAGCCGCGGUAAAACGUAGGUCACAAGCGUUGUCCGGAAUUACUGGGUGUAAAGGGAGCGCAGGCGGGAGAACAAGUUGGAAGUGAAAUCCAUGGGCUCAACCCAUGAACUGCUUUCAAAACUGUUUUUCUUGAGUAGUGCAGAGGUAGGCGGAAUUCCCGGUGUAGCGGUGGAAUGCGUAGAUAUCGGGAGGAACACCAGUGGCGAAGGCGGCCUACUGGGCACCAACUGACGCUGAGGCUCGAAAGUGUGGGUAGCAAACAGGAUUAGAUACCCUGGUAGUCCACACCGUAAACGAUGAUUACUAGGUGUUGGAGGAUUGACCCCUUCAGUGCCGCAGUUAACACAAUAAGUAAUCCACCUGGGGAGUACGACCGCAAGGUU
rnacentral:rRNA from 1 species